AAUUGCAACAUGCUGUAUGGAUCGAUGCAUAGGCUUAUGUGUUGAUGCAUACUGACACAAAAUGGAUUUUAUGAGUUAUUUUAAGAGAUGUAUCAAUGUAGAUCUUUAUGUACAGACAUGCAACAAUAGAAUGGGAUAAAACACACUAAAAACACUCAUGUGUCAUGUAUGGUAAUGCACAGCCAUCAUUUGGAUGAUGAUCACACAAUUUUCUAUCAUUCAAAAGCUAUUCAAAGUAAAGAAUUUUC
rnacentral:lncRNA from 1 species